rnacentral:lncRNA from 1 species
UUUAUUGAAGCUAGAAAAAAAAAAUUACACCACUGGAUUCAGUACUCCAAAUCGUUUUGUCAGACAUGAAUAGUUUUUAUGAUAUAAAUAUAAUUAAAAAAGUAUACAAUGAAACAUACUGACCUUGCAAUGAUUUUCUAGAUAACACCUGAUUAACAGACUUUAGCCAACCCGAUUAACAGACCAACCGGCGAUAUAGCCGC